UACGUAGGGUGCAAGCGUUAAUCGGAAUUACUGGGCGUAAAGCGUGCGCAGGCGGUGAUGUAAGACAGGUGUGAAAUCCCCGGGCUCAACCCGGGAACUGCGUCCGAUACUGGAAGGCUUGAAUCCGGGAGAGGGAUGCGGAAUUCCAGGUGUAGCGGUGAAAUGCGUAGAUAUCUGGAGGAACACCGGUGGCGAAGGCGGCAUCCUGGACCGGUAUUGACGCUGAGGCGCGAAAGCCAGGGGAGCAAACGGGG
rnacentral:rRNA from 1 species